rnacentral:rRNA from 1 species
GAUUCAUGGCUCAGGAUGAACGCUAGCUACAGGCUUAACACAUGCAAGUCGAGGGGCAGCAUGACGGAAGCUUGCUUUCGUUGAUGGCGACCGGCGCACGGGUGAGUAACGCGUAUCCAACCUGCCCUUGUCCAUCGGAUAACCCGUCGAAAGGCGGACUAACACGAUAUGCAGUUCUCAGCAGGCAUCUAACGAGAACGAAAUGUGAAGGAGAAGGAUGGGGAUGCG